GCGGUUUAAAUCAGCACGAGGCACGCAUGCGCUGGAGUUUCCCGCUGACAACCUGGGGGCAAAGCUGAUCACCGCGCUUUUUCAGUUCAUUUCACAAAGACAUACAGAAGAGAAUUUUAGAAGAAGAACAAUGAAAAGAUGAUAAAGGAGAUGAGCAAAGAUGAACAAAACAUUUGCACAUCGACGACACGAAAUCAUUAUGAUCAAUGUCCAUGUGUGCAAGACAUAAAGGAACGAUGGACAGCCCUGUUUCAACCUUCUCAAGUGAAUGCAGAAUUUCACAGAAUAACCAGUGCAGCUGGAACCU